UAGGGAAUCUUCGGCAAUGGGGGCAACCCUGACCGAGCAACGCCGCGUGAGUGAAGAAGGUUUUCGGAUCGUAAAGCUCUGUUGUAAGAGAAGAACGUGUGCGAGAGUGGAAAGUUCACACAGUGACGGUAACUUACCAGAAAGGGACGGCUAACUACGUGCCAGCAGCCGCGGUAAUACGUAGGUCCCGAGCGUUGUCCGGAUUUAUUGGGCGUAAAGCGAGCGCAGGCGGUUUAAUAAGUCUGAAGUUAAAGGCAGUGGCUUAACCAUUGUUCGCUUUGGAAACUGUUAAACUUGAGUGCAGAAGGGGAGAGUGGAAUUCCAUGUGUAGCGGUGAAAUGCGUAGAUAUAUGGAGGAACACCGGUGGCGAAAGCGGCUCUCUGGUCUGUAACUGACGCUGAGGCUCGAAAGCGUGGGGAGCAAACAGG
rnacentral:rRNA from 1 species